UCCGUCUACUUUAAAAAUCGUGAG
rnacentral:tRNA from 1 species